ACAUUCUGGAGAAGUCCACAGGUAUGUGGGUGCCGAAGGUGUAAAACGCAUAUGCGUCAAUCUCUCAGGCGAAAGGACAGAAUUU
rnacentral:ncRNA from 1 species